CCCCAGGCCAUUCCAAAUGUGUCUUUUUGAGGGACCUACAACUUUGGGGCUUGGGUCUGUCAGGAGGAAAAUCCCGAGCAUGCCAGUCUCAUAUCUUUGAUUCCAAGCUCUCCCAGGGCUCACUGCUAGAGAAGAGCCUUUGGGAAUGAUCACCCUGAAAUCAUUUAACCAUGAGAGAAGAAACAGCCAGGCUCCGUGGUGCAAGAUUAACUUCAAGCCAGGCUUCCAGGCUACUUCUGAACUUUUCUUGGGCUGAACAUGAAGCAAAUGCUAACGACCAUAUCCAGGCUCUACUGGGGCGCAGGACACUCAGUACCUCCAGAUAAUCGAGCCCUUGCUGACACUUCUUCCUUGAGGAAAAGAAGAAUUAUCAUCUUCCUGGGAUGGUCAUCAGCCCCAGCCACACACAACCUCUGCCUCCUCCUUACAGGUUCGUUCCAUUUCCCCAUCCAUGGCCGUUUAACUCUUGCCUAGUAGGUAACUCUUAGGAAGCAGUUUUUCCUUAGGCCUCCAAGUCAAAGCAAUGUCCAUUUGCAGCAGAGAAUCCCCAGUAAGCUAAAAAGUGAAUGCAAGUCUGGCUACCAAGAGCCAUCAUGAGGUCCUGAGAGGCCUGUGGGAGGUAAGGAUAGUCAUGUGUCAGUCUUUAACUCAUGGCCUCAUAACAAGAGAACUGGCUCUCCUGCCUGUUUCUAUAGCUGCCUUUUGAGAAGGUUUUUUUCUUUUGUUUAAUGGAAACAAGCCCUCUGCUCUUUCACCUGUCCAGGAGAAAGUAUGUGUAGAUAAGUGAACAGAUGACACUCUGUUGUGCAUUUGAGCUUUUUGCAAAAGAGCCUUUCUUCGAGUGUGGCAUUUUUUUUUCCACAAAAUUUCCACUGACUUGGACUGAGAAGCUUCUCUGCUUUUGCUGUUUGGGAGAUAGGCCUUUUGCUAUGAUCAUUCUGAUUUACAAUGUCCAUUAAAACCUUUAGGAGAGGCCUCAGAAUAUCAUUCCAGAAUAUCAAGAAGACCUGAUCCCUAUCUUCCAGGAGGAUGGUGUCUGUCCUCUACUUGAGCCUGAACCACAAGGUUCUAUGCUCACCCAACUGUCUAGGGGCUGAGUCUGGCUGCAGCUGCAGGGCUGGUCUCUAAAAUGUGUUGUCCUCUUAGAGGGGCAGGCAGCAAGAGGCUUGCCACACAGACACAAGACAGGUAGCUACAGUAACAGGCAUGCCUCACAGUUGCUGACUCAUGAUGUUUCUGAUGAGUCCACAUGCAUGGGGGCAUGUGCACAGCACAUCUUUGCAGUAGAGGAGCAAAUAAGAUCAUAGCUGAGGCCAGCCCCUAAGAAAGCUGAGGUCAGAAAGUUUCCGUGGAACUUGGCCCCGCUGUUGAAGUUCAUUCUUUUCUUUUGAACCAUGUACUUUCUUGAAAACCUGGCUCUACUUUCUAUCAAAUUCACGGAGCUACUAACCUCAACAUAGGGCAGGCAUUGCAGCCUCCUGUAGCCUCGCAUUCUAAGCCUUGAUAAAGGAAAUGGUGGCAGCUUCUUUGGACAACUAGAGUUUACAAGAGAUGAAGAGAAAAAAAGACUCAACACUGGACUCUUCUCGUGAGCUAUUGUGUGCUUGCUUUUCUCGCUCUACCCUUUCCAAGGGUCUCCAGUUUUCAUAACCCAGUACCCUGAGAUAAAACCUUAUUGCUGCUUAGAUUUUGCUAUGGAAAAACAGUAUAAAGCCUCUUCCUUCAGACUACAAUUGGUAUGCCUACCCUUGGACCACCUUCUGUACCUAUUUAUACAACCAGCCACCCAGCUAUCGAAAUUGACAGGCAUGUAGGCUAGAUCCUGCAUAGGCACAUGUGGUGCCUCCUCUGAAAAGUCUCGACUCAGGACAAUGAUUUAAUCUAUGACAAACUAGCUCACCCUAGGAGAGAAGUAUCCUUUAUCCUACAAGAAGAUGCUGGGCAUUUUUCCAGUUCAUUGACACACCAUCCUAUAGUAGAUCACAAGUAAAUGUUGUCCAUUAGAAGGGCAUUGUGGCUACUGGCAUUGUUAUAUUAUUAUAACUAUUUUCCAGGAGAUUUUAGCAUUAAUAAAUGAAUACGGUUCCAUCUUGGAGGUUACUGUCAAUGAUUACAGCUUUUGUUGUAAACCUGCUCUAAACCUCUCAUGUUCCGUUCACUAUGUCACAGUGCCGCCUUGUCUAGCCACAACCACUGUUAUUUUAUAG
rnacentral:lncRNA from 1 species